GGACGAAAACUUAAGGCCUUACUUUUUUGCUGUUUUUUGGUCAUUUAUGAAAAAUGGAAAAAAUCGGCUAAAAAUGGACGAAAACUUAAGGCCUUACUUUUUUGCUGUUUUUUGGUCAUUUAUGAAAAAUGGAAAAAGUCGCUAAAAAUGGACGAAAAGUAAAGCCUAUAGCCUUACUUUUUUGAUGUUUUUUGCCUCUUUUUCAAAA